rnacentral:lncRNA from 1 species
GAAGAACACCUCAGUUUCACCGGGGAAGUAAUAAAGCGACCUAAAGAUUACUUGCCAACAACUGGACUGAGAUGUGAGUUCUGACGGCUAAACAAAUUUGGAUAUGAAAAGUAUGGAUCAUCAUCCAAAGAAGCAGACCUUGAAGGUUGCUGUGUAGGAUCCCAAUUGUUAAAGGAUUCAGGUUCCAAUUUGGAUGUCUUGGGAGAAAGGGCAUCAUCAAAAGACCUCGAUGGUUGCUGUUGCAUAUGAUCCCAAGUGUUUAGGGAUUCAGGUUCAGUCUUGCAUGUCUCGAGAGAGAGAGCUGCUAUGCUAUUUUCCAGGGAGCUAGGUUGAUUUGAAAUAUCCAUUUCUACUUCACUUCCAUUUUUGUAGUUAUAUAGAGGCAUAACUCAUAAGGGUGAUAAAUUCUGUGCAAUACCUCGACGGGAUAUAUUUGAUGGAAUUAGACAACGGAUUGGACGAUAUUCAUCA